GUAAUUGUCGAUCCCAAACAGCAUGAAACUCUUUAAUUGCAAGAAGUCCCGGAUAAAAGCACACCAUCAAGUCUAGUAACUUACAAUAAAGACUUAGCAAACAAGGUUGAGUAAAGAACUCAACAAGUCUUCCAACCAUUCGUAGCUUGUCCAGAGAAAACAACUGCUUCUCAGACCACCAACACGAAUGACGACCUCUUUGCGAUCUUACCGCUACAUGCAUUGGCUUCUCCAACAUCUGAUUUGCAGAUGCA
rnacentral:lncRNA from 1 species